rnacentral:tRNA from 1 species
AUUAUUUUGGCAGAUUAGUGCGAUGGAUUUAGAAUCUUUAGAAGUGAGUUGAUCACAGAUAAUA